UACGGAGGGGGUUAGCGUUGUCCGGAAUCAUUGGGCGUAAAGAGCGUGUAGGCGGUCCGGUAAGUCCGCUGUGAAAGUCGGGGGCUACCACCGUAAUGCCGGUGAUACUGUCGGGCUUGAGUACGGAAGAGGCGAGUGGAAUUCCUGGUGUAGCGGUGAAAUGCGCAGAUAUCAGGAGGAACACCAAUUGCGAAGGCAGCUCGCUGGGACGUUACUGACGCUGAGACACGAAAGCGUGGGGAGCAAACAGG
rnacentral:rRNA from 1 species